CCCGAAUCUUGAAGAGCUAUUUUUAUAUUUUUUUAAUGUAUCAUAAUUAUAAUUAAUAUAAUAGUAGAAAUGAAACGUUAUUCGUUUUAAGAUAUAUCUGGUUUUCUAAGAAAUGGAUUUAAUUCUAUUAAUUAAAUAAUGUAAAAUCUAUUAUUUUAUUUUAUGUUUAUAAUUAGUAAGUUUGGUUGGGGAUAAGCUUGAUCAAAAAUUAUUAUUUAAUUUGUAAUUUAAUUGAGAUUGUAGGAUUAGAAAUUUUCAUCAUUAAUAAUUUGUUAUAAUUAAUUCAACAUAUUUUAUUAUUUUUAUAUUUAAUAAUUGUUUUAUUAGAAUAUUAUUUUUAAUAUUUUAUAUUAAGAAAUAAUGAUAGAAUUAGUAUAUUUUUUUUUGUUUAUUUUGAUUUGGUUGUUAGAAUAAUUUAAGGAAUUCGGCAAAUAUGUUUUUCACCUGUUUAUUAAAAACAUGGCCUUUAGGGGUAAUUUAAGGUCGGGCCUGCUCAAUGAAUAUUAAAUGGCCGCAGUAAUUUGACUGUGCUAAGGUAGCAUAAUCAUUAGUCUCCUAAUUAGGGACUGGAAUGAAAGGUUUGAUGAGAAAACUGCUGUCUCUAGUUAUUAUAUAGAAAUUUAUUUUUAAGUAAAAAAGCUUAAAUUUUUUUGAAAGACGAGAAGACCCUAUAGAGUUUUAUAAUCUAUUGUUUUAUUUGUUUUUGAAGUUUAUUUGGAAUUAUAUAAUGGUUUAUUUUGUUGGGGUGAUAGUAAAAUUUAAUUAACUUUUAUUAUAAUUGUCACAUUAAUAGGUGGGAUGUUUAUUGAUCCGAUAAUUUCGAUUAUAAGAAUAAAUUACCUUAGGGAUAACAGCGUAAUCUUUUCUUAGAGUUCUAAUCGAUGAGAGGGGUUGCGACCUCGAUGUUGGAUUAAAAUUUACCAAAGGUGCAGAAGCUUUAUGGUUAGGUCUGUUCGACCUUUAAAAUUUUACAUGAUCUGAGUUUAAACCGGCGUGAGCCAGGUUGGUUUCUAUCUUCAAUUUUAAAUAAAAUUUUAGUACGAAAGGACCGAGUUUU
rnacentral:rRNA from 1 species